rnacentral:rRNA from 1 species
UUGUAAACCGCUUUCAGUAGGGAAGAAAAUGACGGUACCUACAGAAGAAGGUGCGGCCAACUACGUGCCAGCAGCCGCGGUGACACGUAGGCACCAAGCGUUAUCCGGAUUUAUUGGGCGUAAAGAGCUCGUAGACGGUUUGGUAAGUCGGGUGUGAAAACUCUGGGCUCAACCCAGAGAGGCCACCCGAUACUGCUAUGACUAGAGUACGGUAGGGGAGCGGGGAAUUCAUGGUGUAGCGGUGAAAUGCGCAGAUAUCAUGAGGAACACCAGCGGCGAAGGCGCCGCUCUGGGCCGUAACUGACGCUGAGGAGCGAAAGCAUGGGUAGCAAACAGGAUUAGAUACCCUGGUAGUCCAUGCCGUAAACGUUGGGCACUAGGUGUGGGUCUCAACCAACGAGAUCCGCGCCGUCGCUAACGCAUUAAGUGCCCCGCCUGGGGAGUACGGUCGCAAGACUA